UACGGAGGGUGCAAACGUUGCUCGGAAUCAUUGGACGUAAAGCGCACGUAGGCGGCCUGUUAAGUCGGGUGUGAAAGCCCUGGGCUCAACCCAGGAAGUGCACUCGAAACUGGCGGGCUUGAAUAUGGAAGAGGGUCGCGGAAUUCCCGGUGUAGAGGUGAAAUUCGUAGAUAUCGGGAGGAACACCAGUGGCGAAGGCGGCGACCUGGGCCAAUAUUGACGCUGAGGAGCGAAAGCAUGGGGAGCGAACAGG
rnacentral:rRNA from 1 species